rnacentral:rRNA from 1 species
UGGGGAAUUUUGGACAAUGGGCGAAAGCCUGAUCCAGCCAUACCGCGUGAGUGAAGAAGGCCUUCGGGUUGUAAAGCUCUUUCAGCCGGAAAGAAAUCGCGUUGGUUAAUAUCCAGCGUGGAUGACGGUACCGGAAGAAGAAGCACCGGCUAACUACGUGCCAGCAGCCGCGGUAAUACGUAGGGACCAAGCGUUGUUCGGAUUUACUGGGCGUAAAGGGUGCGUAGGCGGCAUAUCAAGUCACUUGUGAAAUCUCCGGGCUUAACUCGGAACUGCCAAGUGAUACUGAUGUGCUAGAGUGCAGAAAGGGCAACUGGAAUUCUUGGUGUAGCGGUGAAAUGCGUAGAUAUCAAGAGGAACACCUGAGGCGAAGGCGAGUUGCUAGGCUGACACUGACGCUGAGGUACGAAAGCUAGGGGAGCGAACGGGAUUAGAUACCCUUGUAGUCCCUGAGCGGGCUGGCAAGGCGCAU